CUUCAGUUUAUUAACCACAGGUGCAAAAGUUUCAGAUUUUCACUCCAAAUAUUGGAGUUGUAUACAGUGACAUGUGACCUGAUUCUAGAGUUUUGGUUCAAAAAAGUAGGAAGCAAGCUG